CCAGGAAUGGGGAUGUCCCUGCUGGGAAUGGGGAUAUUCCUGCUGGGAAUGGUGCUGCUCCCUGGGAACGGUGCUGUCCCUAUUGGGAAUGGGGAUAUUCCUGCUAGAAGUGGUUCUGUUCCUGUUGGGAAUGGUGCUGUCCCCCCAUGGUCUGCCUGUGCCGUGGUGGGUGCUCAGCCCCGGAGCCUCCUCAGCUGCCCCAGGAGAAGGCAGCACCCAAUUUCCCAGUGGUGGAGAGGAGGAAAAAGGGGGAGAGGGAGAUGCUUUAUUUUCCGCCCCGUGCAAUAAAGUGUGAUUAUAAAGAAUAUAACAGGGAGCACAGCUUGAAUUCCAAUCGGUGCAGGGCCCGUUGUUAACCAUCAGGGAACUAUUUAUUCUCCAGCCUUACUGGUGCUCCUUGGUCAAUAAUGAUAAAGGGGGGAAAGGAGAAGAACUUGAAGCCAUUAUAAAGCAGCAAUCCCAUUACAGAGGAGCAGCAGCAAGAGCCCCCCCCAGAAUCUAUGAUUCCCUCAGGUCAUGUCUCAUGUGCUCAGAGCACUGGCCACUGUCAGGAUUUACCCUGCAUCAUUAACCCACCAAAGAGAGGUUUUUUCCUUGCCAGAAAUGACUGAUUUCUCCAGCCUGAUGGCAGUCAUCGUUUGGGAGACAGAGCAGCACUCCCCUGCUGCUGAGCUAUCUCCAGAGAUAUUUAAUAAAUAAAUAAAUAAAAUAGCUGGAUGCUCGACCAGCUUCUCGGGAAGAGGGAAGACAAUGUGGCCGUUUAUUGUGAUUAAAUACUUGCCGCUCCCUAAUUCUGACACUCUCUCACACACACAGACAGGCAGCACCCGUGUGCGCUCGAUCAGCUCCCCAAACAUUAUUUAUCAUUUGCAUUUCUCUUCCAGCCAGGGCCAGGCUGUCCCAGGCUGUGCAAGGAGCAGGAGCAGCCCCUGUCCCACCCAGCUGCUCUUCCUCUGCCUCACUGGAUUCCACCUCAGCUGUGCCAAGGCAAGAUGGAAAUGAAGACCUGCAAGAAGCAGCAGAAGGAAGGACAGCAGCAGAGGAACUGGAGACCAUGAGUUUAGAUAAAAGCUUGACUUGAAGCCUUGGUACAGCUGCACCCAAAUCCUUUUGUGGGAGCCCAGGAAUGAGGUUCCUGAUGGCUGAGGAGGAGCCUUGGAGCUGCUGCUGGGAGAGAAAGCCAUGCUUCUUCCCCUGAACACGCUGCUGUCUUCCUGCUGUGUGAUGCCUUCCAUAAGCUCUUCUGGGGAUGGGGGCAUAAAUCAUCAUAAAGCCAUGGCACGGCAUAUAAAUCAUAAUAAAGAAUAAUGAUACGUAAUAA